rnacentral:rRNA from 1 species
GACGAACGCUGGCGGCGUGCCUAAACAUGCAAGUCGUGCGGUCUCGCCUUAAGCGAAAGGCCUUCGGGCUUUGAAGCAAAGGCGAGAUAGCGGCGGACGGGUGAGUAACGCGUGGCUUAUCUGUCCCAGGGAGGGGGAUAACGUCUGGAAACGGGCGCUAAUACCCCAUAUGCCGAAAGGUAAAAAGGAGAAAUCCGCCCUGGGGUGAGGCCGCGUCCUAUCAGCUCGUUGGUGAGGUAACGGCCCACCAAGGCUAUGACGGGUAGCCGGCCUGAGAGGGCGGCUGGCCACACUGGGAUUGAGAUACGGCCCAGACUCCUACGGGAGGCAGCAGUGGGGAAUAUUGGGCAAUGGGGGAAACCCUGACCCAGCGACGCCGCGUGGAGGAAGGAGCCCUUCGGGGUGUAAACUCCUGUUGUAAGGGAAGAAGACAGUGACGGUACCUUACGAGGAAGCCCCGGCAAACUACGUG